GGGGACGCGUGGUUUCGACAGGGGAAGCAGGCUACAGGAUUGCAAGCCGAGGUGCCACUAACCUCGUAAAACCGGUGGCAAAAAUUAACUGGCGAACCUGAAUUCGCAUAUGCGGCCUAAUUAAAUAGGUUGCACGCCCGCUCCAACCUCGCCUCAAUGGGUUAGAACCGGGUGCCGAAAAGUUGAGGUGCCAUUGCCCAGACGCCGAUAAGAGCGGUGAAAGAACCAUCGGCUGGCCUGGCUAAACUCGGUCAGCAGAGGCUAGCCAGGUAAGACCAAAGAGCUGACUAAGCUUGUAGCAGAUUCUGAGCAACUUCUUCUGGACGGGGAGUUCGACUCUCCCCCGUCUCCACCA
rnacentral:tmRNA from 1 species